rnacentral:rRNA from 1 species
GUUAGGAAUAUUGCGCAAUGGGGGAAACCCUGACGCAGCGACGCCGCGUGAGUGAUGAAGGCCUUCGGGUCGUAAAGCUCUGUUGCAGGGGAAUAAAAAAAUGAAGGUACCCUGUGAGGAAGGAUCGGCUAACUUCGUGCCAGCAGCCGCGGUAAGACGAGGGAUCCUAGCGUUGCUCGGAAUCAUUGGGCGUAAAGAGGGCGUAGGUGGCUUGGUAAGUCAGGUGUGAAAGCCCAGGGCUCAACCCUGGAAGUGCAUUUGAUACUGCUGAGCUUGAGUGUCGGAGAGGUUACCGGAAUACCUGGUGUAGUGGUGAAAUACGUAGAUAUCAGGUGGAACACCGGAGGCGAAGGCGGGUAACUGGACGAACACUGACACUGAGGCCCGAAAGCGUGGGGAUCAAACAGGAUUAGAUACCCGUGUAGUCC